AGAGUUUGAUCCUGGCUCAGGAUGAAUGCUGGCGGAGUGCCUAACACAUGCAAGUCGAGCGGCAGCGGGAGUAGUUUACUACUCGCCGGCGAGCGGCGGACGGCUGAGUAACGCGUGGGAAUGUGCCCCAAAGUGAGGAAUAACUGCCCGAAAGGGUAGCUAAUGCCGCAUAUGAUCUUCGGAUUAAAGGAUUUAUCCGCUUUGGGAGCAGCCCGCGUCAGAUUAGGUAGUUGGCGAGGUAAAGGCUCACCAAGCCGACGAUCUGUAGCUGGUCUGAGAGGAUGACCAGCCAGACUGGAACUGAGACACGGUCCAGACUCCUACGGGAGGCAGCAGUGAGGAAUCUUCCACAAUGGGGGAAACCCUGAUGGAGCAACUCCGCGUGCAGGAUGAAGGCCUUCGGGUCGUAAACUGCUUUUAUGAGUGAAGAAUAUGACGGUAACUCAUGAAUAAGCACCGGCUAACUACGUGCCAGCAGCCGCGGUCAUACGUAGGGUGCAAGCAUUAUCCGGAGUGACUGGGCGUAAAGAGUUGCGUAGGUGGUUAGUAAAGCGAAUAGUGAAAUCUGGCGGCUCAACCGUACAGGCUAUUAUUCGAACUCACUAACUCGAGAAUGGUAGAGGUAACUGGAAUUUCUAGUGUAGGAGUGAAAUCCGUAGAUAUUAGAAGGAACACCAAUGGCGUAGGCAGGUUACUGGACCAUUUCUGACACUGAGGCACGAAAGCGUGGGGAGCGAACCGGAUUAGAUACCCUGGUAGUCC
rnacentral:rRNA from 1 species